AAGAGAGACCCCAGGGACAUCAGAGGAAUAUACAAAAAGGGGGCUGGUAGAGUCUACCGAGGAGGAGGUACCAACAGUGGUAUUAGAAGCCAUGAUUAAUGAAUCAGCUUAAAAACAGUGUCGGCAAUCAAAAUAUAACAGAACCAGAUACUCACAUACAGAACCAGAUAAUCACAUACAAAGCAUACAAUAGUCAGAAUAAGGACAAAGUUACCCUCCUUCUUCGCGACCGGAGAAGAUCGGCCUUCAAUCAACAAAGAAAACCCUAGGUCCAACACCGGAAACCCUAGGUUCUGAAACUCACCGGAGUAAAGGCAUAGACGUCGGAAGAUCACCCAAAACGUCCAUCAAGCGAAGAAAAAGUCAUCGGAUAACACCAAAAC
rnacentral:lncRNA from 1 species